ACUGACUCUUAGUACUCCAACUUCAAAAUCUCUUCUUUUUGGCUUAUUUAAGACCACUCACUAAGCAACGCACCUUUGAUAAUUCCACUGCCGUCCUUUGCGGGGGUGAUCCUGAGGAUCAAAGGCGAUGCUGUUUGUGAAAGAGCCGGAGACUGCGAGGUUGUUCUGGGUACCGAAGUCGGGGACUGCCAGCCAGCCCGCUGCCUUCAUGAGUAGUACCAGUUGAAGGCAUAAGAUCGUGCAACUAAAGGGCAGAUUUCAGUGACUUGAGUCUGAACAAGAAGGCAGAAAUGACCAGAAAUCUGGGAGCCUGAACAAAGAGGGGAGAGCCAAAACUUUAAGGUAUGUGUCAUCUACAUUCAUGAUUCUAAUUGUAGUAACAUGCAACAAUUUUGAGGUUUAGGUAUAUUAAGAAAUAC
rnacentral:lncRNA from 1 species